AACGCAAAUUGCACUUCUUGGUAUUCCGAGGAGUACACAUGCUUGAGGGUCAGUUAAAAAAAAAAAUCGUACAUCACUGAUGUUGCGGAUCUGGGUAUUCCGAUUUUAUAAAUUGGUUACCUAAAAUUAAUGCGGAUAUGUAAUGUGAAGCGUACUAAUUAUGUAGUCGCUAAUCAUUUAUAUACUUAUUACAUUACAACUAAAGUAUUUAGUUGGUGGUGUAUAAAUUUAUGAGAAUGACCUCAAGUCAUGUGAGAGUACCCGCUGAACUUAA
rnacentral:misc_RNA from 1 species